rnacentral:rRNA from 1 species
AUGAAUAUCCUAGUGUGGAACUGCCGGGUGGGGGGGGGGGACCGCCGGACAAUUCGUGAGGUGUUGGCCCUCUCUAAAGCCAAUUCCCCGGGGCUUGUCUUUCUCUCGGAAACUAGACAUGCCUCUUCAAAGAUGGAGAAACUAAAGUGGAGACUGCAUAUGAAGGGUUUUGCGGGUGUAUCGAGUGAUGGACUUAGUGGAGGACUUGCGCUCCAUUGGGACGAGAAGUUGCAAGUGACAGUGUUGGAGUCCUGUGCAUGGUACAUUGACGUGCGGAUAGUAGAUGUGGCAAGUGACAAGAACUGGAGAACAACGUUCGUUUAUGGUGAGCCUCGAGUAGAGAACCGUCAUCUCAUGUGGAGCUCACUUUCCCAGCUCCGUGCGUUCUCCUCGGAGCCGUGGGUAGUGUGUGGUGACUUCAACGAGGCGAUAUGGCAGCAUGAACAUAUGUCUAGAACCCAGCAUUCUGAAAAAUCAAAUGGGGAUGUUCCGUGA